GGCUGUUCUGAAGGCAGUGAGUUAUCUCAAUUGUACGGGUUCACCAUGAGUUACAGUUGAACUUCUUGUUCUACUCUUUCCCCUCACCCUUCUCACUACUGACUGCACUUGACUAGUCUUUU
rnacentral:Y_RNA from 1 species